CAUGAAGUUGGAGUUGCUAGUAAUCGCGGAUCAGCAUGCCGCGGUGAAUACGUUCCCGGGCCUUGUACACACCGCCCGUCACACCAUGGGAGUUGGGGAUACCCGAAGCCUGUGAGCUAACUUUAUAAGGAGCAGCAGUCGAAGGUAGAAUCAAUGAUUGGGGUGAAGUCGUAACAAGGUACC
rnacentral:rRNA from 1 species